UACGUAGGUGGCGAGCGUUGUCCGGAUUUACUGGGCGUAAAGAGCGCGCAGGCGGUCGGCCAAGUCGAGUGUGAAAGCCCCCGGCUCAACUGGGGAGGGUCACUUGAUACUGGUCGACUCGAAGGCGGGAGAGGGAAGUGGAAUUCCCGGUGUAGUGGUGAAAUGCGUAGAUAUCGGGAGGAACACCAGUGGCGAAGGCAGCUUACUAAGGAGUAACUGACGCUGAGGCACGAAAGUGUGGGGAUCAAACAGG
rnacentral:rRNA from 1 species